rnacentral:SRP_RNA from 1 species
GCUGGGCGUGGUGGCGGGCGCCUGUGAUCCCAGCUACUUGGGAGGCUGAGGCAGGAGGAUCACUUGAACCCAGGAAGCGGAGGUUGCAGUGAGCCAAGAUCACAUCACUGUACUCCAGCCUGGGCAACAGAGUGAGACUCUGUCUCUA